rnacentral:rRNA from 1 species
AGGGAAUCUUCCGCAAUGGGCGAAAGCCUGACGGAGCAACGCCGCGUGAGUGAUGAAGGUCUUCGGAUCGUAAAGCUCUGUUGUUAGGGAAGAACAAAUGUGUAAGUAACUAUGCACAUCUUGACGGUACCUAACCAGAAAGCCACGGCUAACUACGUGCCAGCAGCCGCGGUAAUACGUAGGUGGCAAGCGUUAUCCGGAAUUAUUGGGCGUAAAGCGCGCG